rnacentral:ncRNA from 2 species
CGGGGUCCGUUGGGGUGCCGUAAGGCUGAGAGGCGAAGUUUGCGCCAACCCAUCGUACCUGAUCCGGGUAAUGCCGGCGAAGGGAACGGUCCUUGGCUCGCA